rnacentral:lncRNA from 1 species
CCCAGCUCUGCUUAGCCACCGGCGCUGCCGGGAAGCGGGAGGUCUGAAUUGCCUUCCUCGCACUCUCGGCCCAAAAGCGCCUCACCCAGCGCCGGGUCUCCCCGGACUGGGCCGGCCUCGCCGCCCUCAAAGCGGCCUGCGGGUUUGCAAACAAGCUGUUGCCUUCAAACAAAAGUUGAGCGGAAACGGGCAAAGAAGGACAAGUGCCUGAAAAAAGAGUGGGUGGGUGCAGGACUAGUGGUGUAGAAGGAGAGCAGCAAGAGAGAGGCAAGAGGAAAAGAGGACGUGCUGGCCCACGGCCGGCGAUGCUAGCACGGGUUGGAGGUUAACUUCGCCCUAAGGCAGCGGGUGUGGGGAAAGCGAGAAACUGAGCUUUUCUGGCCUGUUAAAUUCCCAGCUCUGCCACAGACCUCAGCAGUCCUGCAGGGCCUCAUUCCCUUGCCGCUUUCUCCCCUGCCUUCGGCCCCGCGGGGAGCUGGGCUCGGCCGCGCUCAGCGCGGGGGGCGGCCGGACGUACGCCCCCCCCGGGCUUCCUGCUUCUCCCCUGCCUGGCGCGCAGCCUUUUCUGAAAAACGCCCGUGGAGCGAGGAAGGCAAGCUGUCCUGGACCAGGCUUCGUAAAGGAAGCAGGGGGAAGAGAGAGGGAGUGUCUUGCACCAACCGAAGCUGAUGUGAGUGUCUUUCAUCCGAUGCACGUCGCGCGAUGACGCUCACACGUCCCCGAGGCACCUCGUGAUGCUUUUAAUCUGAAGAGCUCAAGGCGGGGAAGCACGGGGCGCUUGAGAGAGCGUUUUCCGAAGCCCGGGAGGCACGUCCUUCACCUGAGCACGCCUGCAUCGGCCGCUCGCCCAGGGUGGCCGGGUGCACCUGGAGGGGC